rnacentral:rRNA from 1 species
CUGCCUGGUAGUGGGGGACGAACGUUUCGAAAGGAACGCUAAUACCGCAUACGUCCUACGGGAGAAAGCAGGGGACCUUCGGGCCUUGCGCUAUCAGAUGAGCCUAGGUCGGAUUAGCUAGUUGGUGAGGUAAUGGCUCACCAAGGCGACGAUCCGUAACUGGUCUGAGAGGAUGAUCAGUCACACUGGAACUGAGACACGGUCCAGACUCCUACGGGAGGCAGCAGGA